UGGGGAAUAUUGCACAAUGGAGGGAACUCUGAUGCAGCGACGCCGCGUGAACGAAGAAGGCUUUCGAGUCGUAAAGUUCUUUUAUAUGGGAAGAUAAUGACGGUACCAUAAGAAAAAGCCCCGGCUAACUACGUGCCAGCAGCCGCGGUAAUACGUAGGGGGCUAGCGUUGUCCGGAAUCACUGGGCGUAAAGGGUUCGCAGGCGGAAAUGCAAGUCAGGUGUAAAAGGCAGUAGCUUAACUACUGUAAGCAUUUGAAACUGCAUAUCUUGAGAAGAGUAGAGGUAAGUGGAAUUUUUAGUGUAGCGGUGAAAUGCGUAGAUAUUAAAAAGAAUACCGGUGGCGAAGGUGGCUUACUGGGCUCAUUCUGACGCUGAGGAACGAAAGCGUGGGUAGCAAACAGG
rnacentral:rRNA from 1 species